rnacentral:rRNA from 1 species
GCGACCCCAGGUCAGGCGGGACUACCCGCGAG